rnacentral:rRNA from 1 species
UACGAAGGGGGCUAGCGUUGCUCGGAAUUACUGGGCGUAAAGGGCGCGUAGGCGGCACUGUUAGUCAGGCGUGAAAGUCCUGGGCUCAACCUGGGAACUGCGCUUGAUACGGCAGAGCUAGAGGAUGGAAGAGGCUCGCGGAAUUCCCAGUGUAGAGGUGAAAUUCGUAGAUAUUGGGAAGAACACCGGUGGCGAAGGCGGCGACCUGGUCCGAUACUGACGCUGAGGCGCGAAAGCGUGGGGAGCAAACAGG